AGGGCCCCAGCCCGGAGCGGGCGGGUGUGGCCACGAGCGGCGCUCCGCUAACCCGCGCUAGCAGGGAGGGCGCUGCGUGCCCCGGGGACUCCCCAGCCCCGCGCCCGCCCAACCGCCCGCAGCCGGGAGGAGGAGGCGGAGGCGGCACCGCCCCCUGGCUGAGGAGCCCCUGGCAGCAGGGGCGGGUGUCCCACUGCUCCCCACUUCGCAGGGGUCUUCCUCCGUCCCCACCCUCCUCUCCCAUACCUGCCCCGGCCCCACCCCUCGGGGAGGGCAGCUCCGCCUCCGCCUCCUCCUGCUGCUGCUGCUGUUGCAGGAGCCUGGACCUGAUGCUUAGCGCUGCCUGGAGCCCGCCCGGAGUUUGGACGAUUUGCCACUUGCAGCAGCUGGCAGAAACCUCCGGGCAGCGGCAGGGCUGGGAUCGACUGCUCCGAGGAAGGGGAAAAAAAAAGGCCUGGUUGAGGAGACUGGUCUCUGCAUUUCUGACGGCCUAGGGUUUUGUGUGGCGUCUGCCCACCUGGAUGCUCUCCUGGCCCCGAAAGAUCCCAGCCUGACUCUCCGACAGCCAGCCGGCACACCACUCCUCCUGCUAUUCAUGGCCAGCAUGCAGCUGCAACUACUUCCCUAGGCUGACACAGCAGCAGCUGCUAAAUGUGUGUCAGCUGGCCAGCCACUCGCCAAAGUCCUCCUGCCUGCUUUGCUUCCCUUGUUGCUGUCACUUUCCUGCUUACCCAUCUUCAGACCUGCUUCCCCGUUCCAUCUUUCCCACUCCCAUAAUCUGCUCCAGUGCCCCCAGUUCUCCUGCUGUCCUGGACCCACCCCCACAGCUGUCCCUAUUCACCUGACUCUCGCUUCAGGAAACCUUUUCCCCUCCUUCCCCACAAAGAGUUACCAUUGAUUGCCUGGUUUUCCCUCUACACAUCAAACAAACAAGCAAAAAACUCAGAAAUGAAGAAAAUAGUCAUUUUCAUUUUUACGCUGCUUUUUCCAAAAAAGGUGCCCUCCACCAUGGCAGCACUUAUACAUCUAAUGGUUAAGACAGCCUUGGCUCUAUCUCCUUCCUCUAAAAAUAUGGCUGCCUGUAAAAAUGUCUUAGGGUUAUUUCUCAGCAGAAGGGAAAGGAAGUGGAAAAGAAACAGAAGUGGAGCUAGUCUGGUGUUUUAAGGUUGCUAUGCCUUGCUAGGCAAAAUCUCCACUAAAUCCCAGCCCAUGCCAUUUUCCCAUCCAUCUAAAUCCCAUCCCCAGUCCUACAUGGAAGGGGAAACUGCAUUUCAGCAUGUAGAGAUUUCUGACAGCCAGUGGGGAGGUUUCUUGAGACAGAUCUGUGCCUCCUGAUGUGAGAACGGUAGGUGGGAGCCAGCUAUAUUUGAAGCAAAGGCCAUUCUGGUUCUGCAGCUCAUCAUGAACAAGCAUUAAAAGCAACUUUCUGCUUCUUUCCAGGAGAAGCAGCAAGAUGAGCCUGGGGUUCCCACCAUAUACAUAUGUUGGGACUUUGAUCUGUGUGUCUACCACAGGGCCCCUUUAUUGCCCGAGUCUCUCUGCCUCAGCUUCCCCUCUGUGAAUGCUGAGGUAUUCAGGCCCUCCAGGAGUACAGGACACAGCGUCAGCACUGUACCUAGACUCCCGGCAGCCCCGGGGAAGCUUUUAGUAUCGGGCCCCCCUUCACCAGAAAUAAUGAUAAUAAUAAUUUUAAAAUUACCAUUUUGAGGCCCCCUUUCUGCCCGGGCCCCAGGCAGCUACCCAGUUCGUCCAUGCCUGUGUCUGGCCCUGCACAGUGUAGUUGUGAUGAUGGACCACCAAAGUAUCAUCUAUGCCUAUGACCACUUUUUAAAAACGCUUCCCCUCAUCCAUUUUCCAGUCAUUCUCCUUGGUUCAGAUUGUGCCUUUCCCACCAGUUUAGCUAUUUCUCACUGUGCCACAACAGUGGUUUCCUAAUGCUUCAUUUUGUUCUCCUAUUCUGCGUUUCACCAUAGCUGUUAUUUCUCAGCUGCUGCAGGAUAUCACCCUUUUCUUCUACCUGUAGGCAAAGCUGUUUGGUUACACCUGGGUCUGGAGCAGUUAUUGACAACAGGUCUAGGACACCAAGUGUGGAGGAGGACCAGCCAGUAGAAAGGGGCCUGGGAGAGGCUAUGCUGGACUCAGAGUCAUUUCCAUCUUGAACUCAGCAGAACUUCAUUCAGCAGCAAAUGAAGAACCUUGGCGUGAGGGGCUCAGCACCACCUUUUGCAGGAACCGGGGUGGGGUUUGUUUGCAGUCCCACUCCUCCCUGCACCUAGCUCUCUGGAGCAGGAUUUGUGCCUUUCAUCACUACCCCCUCACAUGCUGUUUUUUAAUGUAUAUGGGUAUAUGCAAAACUCAAAGCUCAUCAGAUCAUUUGCAUGAAGUAUUUCAUGCAGGGAGCUGCACAAAACUUGCACCUUAAAGGAGGGAACCAGUUGAUGACUGGCCAGUUAACCACUUGACAGUCAGCUCAAUUUUCCCCCGGUGGGUUAUGAAGACACAAGGGAUACUUCACUUAUUUGCCUUAGACAUCCUAACUGAUUGAUUCUAUAGGAGUAAACCACAUCAGACAGUAACCUUUAACCCCAGGAAAUGGGUGGAGGGCAGAAGGAUCACACUGGAAGGUGUGCUAGGAUGGACAUUCUUUCAUUCAAAGCUUGAGAGAUCGGAGGUUAACCUUGCCUUUCUGGACAGAAGGACUGUGGCUGCCUGCCGUGCGUGCUGGAACUACAGGACAGAUCCAGCGGUGAUGAAUUAUUUCCCUCUCAUUCUUCACAAGGACAGUACUGUGAGCUGAGUCUAAUAAUCAGAGCAAGGAAAGUUCCUCAGGAACAGAGGAGAGGGUUUUCCCCCUGGAAAACUCUGAAGUGAAAUACUUCUGAAUUUGUCUGAAUCAAGAUGUGCUUCUUCCCUUGAGACUGAGAGAAACAUUGUUUUUGUCUUUUUUUUUUUUUUCCUUUUCUUCCUAUUCAGCCCAUGAUUUGUCUCAUGCUUGUGGUUCAUUUUCAACGAGCAUGCUUUCUUCCUGAAAGCAAAGCAGCAUCAGCUUAUGAGGAUGCUAUUUUAUAGCAGUUGGUAACCCAAGACAAGGGGCUGCAUUCAUUCUGAUUGGACUAGAGGUAAGUUGCUGAUCUCCUGGAUGGAGCUUAUCUUCAUAGAUUUCAUAGACAUUUGGGCUGGAAGGGACCCUGGAGG